rnacentral:rRNA from 1 species
UACGAAGGGAGCUAGCGUUGUUCGGAAUCACUGGGCGUAAAGCGCACGUAGGCGGACUCUUAAGUCGGGGGUGAAAUCCUGGAGCUCAACUCCAGAACUGCCUUCGAUACUGGGAGUCUUGAGUUCGGGAGAGGUGAGUGGAACUGCGAGUGUAGAGGUGAAAUUCGUAGAUAUUCGCAAGAACACCAGUGGCGAAGGCGGCUCACUGGCCCGAUACUGACGCUGAGGUGCGAAAGCGUGGGGAGCAAACAGG